CAUGUGAUUUGUCCUUGCUGAUGAAGCAGUAACAUAUACAGCAUUGCUCUAGUGUCUGCAUUCUGUGGAACGGAGGGCUUUUGAGCCUCACAAGACUUUGAGAUUUUAUGGAUAUGAAACCUGCUAUCAUUUAGCAUCCUGCCUCUGGGAAUAGAUGAAAACAUUUGGCCCAGUGGUGUUAAUUUGCUGCAUUAUUUAAGAAUAUUCUAUUUUAUCCAUUGAAAAUAAGAGAAAUUAAUAAGGUAGGUGAAAUGGAUUAUAGAAGUAUGUAGCUUGUGAGAUAUAUUGACAGAAAGAAAGUAACACAUAUAAAUAAGAAGGAAUGGUCCCUCUCCCUCUCCCUCUCCCUCUCCGUCUCCCUCUCCG
rnacentral:lncRNA from 1 species